rnacentral:rRNA from 1 species
UGGCGGACGGGUGAGUAACGCGUGAGAAUCUACCAUAAGGUCGGGGACAACCAUUGGAAACGAUGGCUAAUACCGGAUAAGCCUACGGGUAAAAGAUUAAUUGCCUAAUGAAGAGCUCGCGUCUGAUUAGCUAGUUGGUGAGGUAAAGGCUCACCAAGGCAUCGAUCAGUAGCUGGUCUGAGAGGAUGACCAGCCACACUGGGACUGAGACACGGCCCAGACUCCUACGGGAGGCAGCAGUGGGGAAUUUUCCGCAAUGGGCGAAAGCCUGACGGAGCAAGACCGCGUGAGGGAGGAAGGCUCUUGGGUUGUAAACCUCUUUUCUUGGGGAAGAACAAAAUGACGGUACCCAAGGAAUCAGCAUCGGCUAACUCCGUGCCAGCAGCCGCGGUAAUACGGAGGAUGCAAGCGUUAUCCGGAAUUAUUGGGCGUAAAGCGUCCGCAGGUGGCAUUUCAAGUCUGUUGUCAAAGACCGGGGCUUAACCCUGGAAAGGCAAUGGAAACUGAAGCGCUAGAGUAUCGUAGGGGUAGAGGGAAUUCCUGGUGUAGCGGUGAAAUGCGUAGAGAUCAGGAAGAACAUCGGUGGCGAAAGCGCUCUACUGGACGAUAACUGACACUCAGGGACGAAAGCUAGGGGAGCGAAUGGGAUUAGAUACCCCAGUAGUCCUAGCCGUAAACGAUGGAUACUAGGUGUGGCUUGUAUCGACCCGAGCCGUGCCGUAGCUAACGCGUUAAGUAUCCCGCCUGGGGAG